GACGAACGCUGGCGGCGUGCUUAACACAUGCAAGUCGAACGGAAAGGCCCUGCUUUUGUGGGGUGCUCGAGUGGCGAACGGGUGAGUAACACGUGAGUAACCUGCCCUUGACUUUGGGAUAACUUCAGGAAACUGGGGCUCAUACCGGAUAGGAGCUCCUGCUGCAUGGUGGGGGUUGGAAAGUUUCGGCGGUUGGGGAUGGACUCGCGGCUUAUCAGCUUGUUGGUGGGGUAGUGGCUUACCAAGGCUUUGACGGGUAGCCGGCCUGAGAGGGUGACCGGCCACAUUGGGACUGAGAUACGGCCCAGACUCCUACGGGAGGCAGCAGUGGGGAAGAUUGCACAAUGGGCGGAAGCCUGAUGCAGCAACGCCGCGUGCGGGAUGACGGCCUUCGGGUUGUAAACCGCUUUCGCCUGUGACGAAGCGUGAGUGACGGUAAUGGGUAAAGAAGCACCGGCUAACUACGUG
rnacentral:rRNA from 1 species